ACGAGCGGUGGAGCAUGUGGCUUAAUUCGAUGCAACGCGAAGAACCUUACCUGGGCUUGACAUAUAACUGCACGCCCGUGAAGCGGGUUCCUUCGAGGGUGUUAUACAGGUGCUGCAUGGCUGUCGUCAGCUCGUGCCGUGAGGUGUUGGGUUAAGUCCCGCAACGAGCGCAACCCUUGUGACUAGUUGCCACUCCCAUUUCGGUGGGAAGCACUCUAGUCAGACUGCCCGUGAUAAGCGGGAGGAAGGUGGGGAUGACGUCAAGUCCGUAUGGCCUUUAUGCCCAGGGCUGCACACGUGCUACAAUGGAUGGUACAGAAGGACGCAAGACCGCGAGGUGGAGCAAAUCCCCAAAACCAUCCACAGUUCAGAUUGGAGUCUGCAACUCGACUCCAUGAAGCUGGAAUCGCUAGUAAAGGCGUAUCAGCUACGACGCCUUGAAUACGUUCCCGGGCCUU
rnacentral:rRNA from 1 species